UGGAGGGUUUUACCAUAUCUUCUGACUUCUCUGACUCAGCUCUUUUUUGAUUUCUCGCAGUCUCUGAUGUUGAGAUCUCGGAGAAAGUCCGAGAUUCUCAAAGUCCAGCUGGAGAACGCCGGUGCCGCGGCUUCAUGGGCCUUAGCCGCCAAGAGAGAACGAGCCUCGCUGGAGCUGCCCGAGCCGAUGCCGCAGAAAACGAGGUCACUUGGAUGAAGUUGGCGCUCGAGAGUAUGGCCAACCUCAAGAACGAGCUUUCUUUGGCAAACGCUCGGGCGGCCAAGGUUGAGCAAGAGAGGACGGUGAUUAGACCACUCUCAAAGAUGCUCGGGACGCCCUUGACGUUGUCCGAGUCGAGAACGAAUCGCUCCGAGCCGAGAACGAGUCAUUGAAGGCGGGGGCCCGUGCCGCCGAGACGUCCUAUCGGACGGCGACCUUGACAGCAGCGGCCCUUUUCUCGAAGGCUCGUCAGGCCUGUUCUGCCCUUUGGCGGAGCGGGCCAGAGGCGGACAACGCGGAGGAGCUCCAGGCCCGCCUCGACCUUGUGCCGACCCGGAUGCGGGACCUGAUGAAGACUUCGGCCCGCGCCCGGGGCGCAGAUGACCUUGGUGAUGACCAAGUCCAACUACCCCACGCUCGAAGUGGAGGACUUGGGCGAGGGCCUGGCGGUGGAGACUACUGACGAGGAGGUCCCCGGUUGCUGGAGGAAGUGAAGCCGGUGGCCUACGCCAUCGCGGACGCAAUUCAGCUGACGGGCUACACCGAUCCGUAGUUAUCCUGCAUACUCGGGGAAGGCAGAGUGCGUUCCCCUUUAUGUAAAUAAACAAACAGUCGU